rnacentral:rRNA from 1 species
ACGGAGGGUGCAAGCGUUAAUCGGAAUUACUGGGCGUAAAGCGUGCGCAGGCGGUUUGUUAAGUCUGUUGUGAAAUCCCCGAGCUCAACUUGGGAAUUGCAAUGGAUACUGGCAGGCUGGAGUACGGUAGAGGAAGGUGGAAUUCCAUGUGGAGCGGUGAAAUGCGUAGAGAUAUGGAAGAACACCAGCGGCGAAGGCGCUCUACUAGGCCAAGACUGACACUGAGAAACGAAAGCUAAGGGAGCGAAUAGGA